rnacentral:rRNA from 1 species
AGAGUUCGAUCAUGGCUCAGGAUGAACGCUGGCGGCGUGCUUAACACAUGCAAGUCGAACGAAGCUACUUAACAGAUUUCUUUCGGGAUUGACGUUUUGUAGACUGAGUGGCGGACGGGUGAGUAACGCGUGGGGAACCUGCCCUAUACAGGGGGAUAACAGCUGGAAACGGCUGCUAAUACCGCAUAAGCGCACAGAAUCGCAUGAUUCAGUGUGAAAAGCCCUGGUAGUAUAGGAUGGUCCCGCGUCUGAUUAGCUAGUUGGCGGGGUAACGGCCCACCAAGGCGACGAUCAGUAGCCGGCUUGAGAGAGUGGACGGCCACAUUGGGACUGAGACACGGCCCAA